rnacentral:rRNA from 1 species
AGAGUUUGAUCCUGGCUCAGAGCGAACGCUGGCGGCAGGCCUAACACAUGCAAGUCGAACGGGCCCCUUCGGGGGUCAGUGGCAGACGGGUGAGUAACACGUGGGAACGUGCCCUUCAGUUCGGAACAACCCAGGGAAACUUGGGCUAAUACCGGAUACGCCCUUUGGGGAAAGAUUGAUCGCUGAAGGAUCGGCCCGCGUCUGAUUAGCUAGUUGGUAGGGUAACGGCCUACCAAGGCGACGAUCAGUAGCUGGUCUGAGAGGAUGAUCAGCCACACUGGGACUGAGACACGGCCCAGACUCCUACGGGAGGCAGCAGUGGGGAAUAUUGGACAAUGGGCGCAAGCCUGAUCCAGCCAUGCCGCGUGAGUGAUGAAGGCCCUAGGGUUGUAAAGCUCUUUCGGCGGGGACGAUAAUGACGGUACCCGCAGAAGAAGCCCCGGCUAACUUCGUGCCAGCAGCCGCGGUAAUACGAAGGGGGCUAGCGUUGCUCGGAAUCACUGGGCGUAAAGGGCGCGUAGGCGGAUCUUUAAGUCGGGGGUGAAAGCCCAGGGCUCAACCCUGGAAUUGCCUUCGAUACUGGAGAUCUUGAGACCGGAAGAGGUAAGUGGAACUGCGAGUGUAGAGGUGAAAUUCGUAGAUAUUCGCAAGAACACCAGUGGCGAAGGCGGCUUACUGGUCCGGUUCUGACGCUGAGGCGCGAAAGCGUGGGGAGCAAACAGGAUUAGAUACCCUAGUAGUCC